rnacentral:rRNA from 1 species
UUAGCUAGUUGGUGGGGUAAUGGCUCACCAAGGCGACGAUCCGUAACUGGUCUGAGAGGAUGAUCAGUCACACUGGAACUGAGACACGGUCCAGACUCCUACGGGAGGCAGCAGUGGGGAAUAUUGGACAAUGGGCGAAAGCCUGAUCCAGCCAUGCCGCGUGUGUGAAGAAGGUCUUCGGAUUGUAAAGCACUUUAAGUUGGGAGGAAGGGCAGUAAGUUAAUACCUUGCUGUUUUGACGUUACCGACAGAAUAAGCACCGGCUAACUCUGUGCCAGCAGCCGCGGUAAUACAGAGGGUGCAAGCGUUAAUCGGAAUUACUGGGCGUAAAGCGCGCGUAGGUGGUUUGUUAAGUUGGAUGUGAAAGCCCCGGGCUCAACCUGGGAAGUGCAUCCAAAACUGGCAAGCUAGAGUACGGUAGAGGGUGGGUGGAAUUUCCUGUGUAGCGGUGAAAUGCGUAGAUAUAGGAAGGAACACCAGUGGCGAAAGCGACCACCUGGACUGAUACUGACACUGAGGUGCGAAAGCGUGGGGAGCAAACAGGAUUA